rnacentral:rRNA from 1 species
GUGGUGCAUGGUUGUCGUCAGCUCGUGUCGUGAGAUGUUGGGUUAAGUCCCGCAACGAGCGCAACCCUCGUUCCAUGUUGCCAGCACGUCGUGGUGGGGACUCAUGGGAGACUNCCGGGGUCAACUCGGAGGAAGGUGAGGAGGACGUCAAAUCAUCAUGCCCCUUAUGUGNUGGGCUUCACGCAUGAUACAAUGGGCCGGUACAAUGGGUUGCGAUANGUGGGAGGAGGAGAUAAUNCCAAAAAGGCGGUCUCAGUUGGGAUUGGGGUGUGCAACUCGACCCCGAGAAGUGGGAGUCGUCUAGUAAUCGAGAGAUCAGCAACGCUGCGGGGAAUACGUUCCCGGGCCUGGUACACACCGCCGGUCAAGUCACGAAAGUGGGUAACACCGGAAGCCGGUGGCCUAACCCUUGUGGGUGGAGCCGUAGAAGGUGGGACCAGCGAUUGGGAC